GGUGAGGACUAGUUGGAGUAUGUGAGUGAUGGAUCCGCAGAUAUGAACCCUCACACUGGAGGAUGGAACUGGUUCACAGCUCUUCCUGCAUGUUAAUGGCUGGAAUGAGGAUUCCAGUGAAGAAUGGCCUGGAAGGAAUGGAGUGAAGUGAGAGCAGCCCUUCUGUGCUGGAGUGUGGGGAUCUGAUGGAUCUCUCUGCUGAUCUGGUGGAGGAGCAGAGGAUGCUGUGGUGUGACUGGCUGGUUUUGUUGCUUAAAAGAGUAAGAAUGCAGACUAAAUUGGAAGGGGCCUACAACUUGUAGCUGUGCAUGAGCCCACCUGAACUUCAAAUGCUAUCUCUAAAAGCAGUGUCCAAAUGCUUCUCCAAGUCCAUCAGCCUGGGCCUGUGACUGCUGCCCUGAGGAGCUUGUUCUGGUACCCAGCCACCCUCUGGUGAAGGAACUUGUAAUUUUCACUGUGGCUUAGUACAUAUCCAAGUCCCUUGCCCUAGUCAGUUGUAGAAAAACUGAAGAGAGUAGUGGGAUGUCACUGGAACACCCAGGAACAGCUUAAAAGCAACAGAAGAUAGAACAAUUACUGAAUCAGCCUGCCUUAACUGAAGUUGAUGCAACCCUCUAACAGUGGAAUGUAGUCUUCAGUCAAUAGUAAAUCUAUAGCUAAGAGUAAAGAUUUAAUUGCUAUGCACCCAGUCAUUUAACUAUUCAUGUUUUAUGCCUUGUAACAGUACGUGUGUUUUCUAACAUUAAUAGCCUGAAUGGCUGAGCAAGAACCACUUCGAGCAAUAAAGCCUAAAACAGCCAAAAAACUUUCAUUGAUUCAUAAUGUAUUUCUUGGCAGGGUGCACAUUCAGAAGAGAGCUUCCCAUAUGUGUCUUUCCUUAAAAACAGCAGUAUGAACUGUCACUUUAGCUGGAGGCCUGGGCUGCACAAGUGUGUUCCUCCAUCAGGCAGGGAAAGAAAGGAGUUUGGUUUUUUUUGUUGUUUUUAUGACAAAUCAUAUAUAAAGCCCUAAUUCUUAAUUCA